GACGAACGCUGGCGGCGUGCUUAACACAUGCAAGUCGAACGGAAAGGCCCUGCUUUUGUGGGGUGCUCGAGUGGCGAAAGGGUGAGUAACACGUGAGUAACCUGCCCUUGACUUUGGGAUAACUUCAGGAAACUGGGGCUAAUACCGGAUAGGAGCUCCUGCUGCAUGGUGGGGGUUGGAAAGUUUCGGCGGUUGGGGAUGGACGCGCGGCUUAUCAGCUUGUUGGUGGGGUAGUGGCUUACCAAGGCUUUCACGGGUCGCCGGCCUGUGAGGGUGACCGGCCACAUUGGGACUGAGAUACGGACCAGACUCCUACGGGAGGCAGCAGUGGGGAAUAUUGCACAAUGAGCGGAAGCCUGAUGCAGCAACGCCGCGUGCGGGAUGACGGCCUUCGGGUUGUAAACCGCUUUCGCCUGUGACGCAGCGUGAGUGACGGUAAUGGGUAAAGAAGCACCGGCUAACUACGUG
rnacentral:rRNA from 1 species